rnacentral:rRNA from 1 species
AACGAACGCUGGCGGCAUGCCUAACACAUGCCAGUCGAACGAGAUCCUUCGGGGUCUAGUGGCGCACGGGUGCGUAACGCGUGGGAAUCUGCCCUUAGGUUCGGAAUAACAGUUAGAAAUGACUGCUAAUACCGGAUGAUGACGUUAAGUCCAAAGAUUUAUCGCCUGAGGAUGAGCCCGCGUAGGAUUAGCUAGUUGGUGUGGUAAAGGCGCACCAAGGCGACGAUCCUUAGCUGGUCUGAGAGGAUGAUCAGCCACACUGGGACUGAGACACGGCCCAGACUCCUACGGGAGGUAGCAGUGGGGAAUAUUGGACAAUGGGCGCAAGCCUGAUCCAGCAAUGCCGCGUGAGUGACGAAGGCCUUAGGGUUGUAAAGCUCUUUUACCCGGGAUGAUAAUGACAGUACCGGGAGAAUAAGCCCCGGCUAACUCCGUG